rnacentral:rRNA from 1 species
ACAAGCAGUCGAGCGGACAGAUGGGAGCUUGCUCCCUGAUGUCAGCGGCGGACGGGUGAGUAACACGUGGGUAACCUGCCUGUAAGACUGGGAUAACUCCGGGAAACCGGGGCUAAUACCGGAUGCUUGAUUGAACCGCAUGGUUCAAUUAUAAAAGGUGGCUUUUAGCUACCCCUUACAGAUGGACCCGCGGCGCAUUACCUAGUUGGGGAGGUAACGGCUCACCAAGGCAACAAUGCGUACCCAACCUGAAAGGGGGAUCGGCCACACUGGGACUGAAACACGGCCCAAACUCCUACGGGAGGCAGCAGUAGGGAAUCUUCCGCAAUGGACAAAAGUCUGACGGAGCAACGCCCCGGGAGUGAUGAAGGUUUUCGGAUCGUAAAACUCUGUUGUUAGGGAAAAACAAGUACCGUUCGAAUAGGGCGGUACCUUGACGGUACCUAACCAAAAAGCCACGGCUAACUACGUGCCACCAGCCGCGGUAAUACUUAGGUGGCAAGCGUUGUCCGGAAUUAUUGGGCGU